GGGAAACUGAGGAUAAUACCCCAUAGGUGUGGUAUGCUGGAAGGCUUCCACGCUAAAAGCCCCGGCGCUCCAGGAUGAGUCUGCGGCCUAUCAGGCAGUAGUGGGUGUAACGGACCCACUAACCUACGACGGGUAGGGGCGUUGAGAGACGGAGCCCCCAGAUGGAUUCUGAGACACGAAUCCAGGCCCUACGGGGCGCAGCAGCUACGAAAACUGCCCAAUGUGGGAAACCACGAGGCGGGCAUUCCGAGUGCCAAGGCAUUGCUUUGGCUGUUCUUUCGCCUAAAAAGCGAGAGAAGUAAGGGCCGGGUAAGACGGGUGCCAGCCGCCGCGGUAAUACCCGCGGCCCGAGUGGUGCUCAUUAUUAUUGAGCUUAAAGCGUCCGUAGCCGGCCUCAUAAAUCUUUGGGUAAAUCGGGCAGCUCAACUGUUCGAAUUCCGAGGAGACUGCGAGGCUCGGGACCGGGAGAGGUUCGAGGUACUCUCGGGGUAGGGGUAAAAUCCUGUAAUCCUGAGAGGACCACCAGUGGCGAAGGCGUCGAACUAGAACGGAUCCGACGGUGAGGGACGAAGCCCUGGGGCGCAAACGGGAUUAGAUACCCCGGUAGUCCAGGGUGUAAACGCUGCGGGCUUGGUGUCGGAGGUCCUACGUGGGCGUCCGGUACCGGAGAGAAAUUGUUAAGCCUGCCGCUUGGGGAGUACGGUCGCAAGACUGAAACUUAA
rnacentral:rRNA from 1 species